AUGCAGGCCAGAAGACAAAAGGAUCAUAGUACCAGAGUGAGUUCAUCUCCAACUCAAGAGCUGGAAUGGAAGGCAGGAGACAGAGGCUUUGAGGAGAGGACAGACCACGGUACCCAGAACAACCAUCUUCCCACAACAGGCAUUUGGACCACAUUAAUCUACCUCACAGGGAAGAGGUGGGCUCCUCAGAUUUAUGUGCCCCUGAGAACAUGCCCACAGGAUUUUGAAACCCACAGAGGGAAGGAGAGUCCCAGUAUAUGCAGAUAACUGGGAAAAACAUUCCCAUUUUAGGGGUCAAACCUCAUCCUUUACUGGCCUAAGAACUCCAUCAGCCUCCCGCCUGCACACCUGCCCACUCCAUGGAGUAAGACCCUUCCCUCCCACUUACUGUCAAAUGCCUCCUGAUCAUUCCGGAUGCAGCUUGGAUGGUGUCCUGGGAGUCUCCCCAUCCUGCCCAAGAUGAAAUUAGGUCUUCUUGCCACUGGGCUCCCACAGCAGUUCAGCAGGACAUUGGUACUUGUGAUAUAACCAGGCAACACUUGUUCUUGCUCUUUCCUUGAGAUACAGAAUGCAGUUCCUGUGAACAGAGGUGGCAAGGAGAUCCCACCCUCAGUCUGGUGCCAAUGAUGAAUCAGCAGCUGAGAGUGGGUGCCCUAUUUAUUGACUCACCCUGAUCCCAGCCCUCCUGUGAGGACCUGGGGGUCAUAUGUGCUCUUGAACAAGACAGGCAGCUUUCAGCUAAGCAGCCCAUGGCACCUGUGACAGGUUUCCAGUAAGCAAAUAUUUACUAAGCACACCUGUGUCUCUCAGCACUGCCACAGUCUUCUUUCUGUCCACGUCACCAUCUGCUGAAGUCCCUGGAACCUGAGACAGCUUUACAGGCAGCAUGACCUCACCCAGCAUCUUCCUUCUGACAGACACUUGGCCCCCGAGGACUCUGGGUGCUGUGUUCUGUGAGAAAAAUGAAGGCAAGCUCCUCCUUGGCCAUGUUUUCACAGACCUGUUCUAGUGGUGCUGAAAAUGCAUCCCAAGAACAUCCACCCCUCAUGAGGAUAAUCUGUAAUUCCACAGUGCUAUCCUCAGAAAUUCAAGUCUGAAAACUAAAUUCUUACAGUAUUCAAGAACCACCAAACUCUUGGAGACACACUCAUGUUGACAAAAUUAAAACAAUGGUGACCUAUAAAGUGGAAUGCCAAGUUAUUGUAAUAAAAAUCUGGGGCUAGGUUCCCUUCCCA
rnacentral:lncRNA from 1 species